rnacentral:rRNA from 1 species
UGCAGUCGAGGGGUAUUAGGAGCUUGCUCCUAAGAGACCGGCGCACGGGUGCGUAACGCGUAUGCAAUCUACCUUGUACAGAGGAAUAGCCCAGAGAAAUUUGGAUUAAUGCCUCAUAGUAUAUUGGGUCGGCAUCGACCUAUUAUUAAAGAUUUAUCGGUACAAGAUGAGCAUGCGUCCCAUUAGUUAGUUGGUAAGGUAACGGCUUACCAAGACGAUGAUGGGUAGGGGUCCUGAGAGGGAGAUCCCCCACACUGGUACUGAGACACGGACCAGACUCCUACGGGAGGCAGCAGUGAGGAAUAUUGGGCAAUGGAGGCAACUCUGACCCAGCCAUGCCGCGUGCAGGAAGACGGUCCUAUGGAUUGUAAACUGCUUUUAUACGGGAAGAAACACUCCGACGUGUCGGAACUUGACGGUACCGUAAGAAUAAGGAUCGGCUAACUCCGUGCCAGCAGCCGCGGUAAUACGGAGGAUCCAAGCGUUAUCCGGAAUCAUUGGGUUUAAAGGGUCCGUAGGCGGCCUUAUAAGUCAGUGGUGAAAUCUCCUAGCUCAACUAGGAAACUGCCAUUGAUACUGUAGGGCUUGAAUUAUUGUGAAGUAACUAGAAUAUGUAGUGUAGCGGUGAAAUGCUUAGAUAUUACAUGGAAUACCAAUUGCGAAGGCAGGUUACUAACAAUCGAUUGACGCUGAUGGACG